rnacentral:lncRNA from 12 species
GAGCCAAGUUGCCCUGAAAGAUCAUGAACUUGUCAUCUGAGCACUGCAACAUAUCAGAUUGGCUGAGGCUGGAAGCAACAGUGAAGGCCUCUGUGUACAUGGUUGCCUUCUUCUUUACCACAUUUGUCACUGUCAUCAUCAUCACGAUAGUGUCCCAGAAUUCAAAGCUGAAGAAAGAGAUAUGCUAUAUAAACAUAUAUUGACUGAGAAUGGACUUGGGAAACAUCCUUAAAAGCAAGAACAGAAAAGUGGUUCAUAACACACACCAUAAGAAAAUGUUGAAAGAAUCCAUGUUGCUGUUUAGAAGUUCAAGAUUGUAAAAUCAGCCACACUAAUGAAUUUUAAGCAUAUUUUUUUUCUCUGAGAAGGUCAAGGGCUAUGGCUGGAACUUUGCUGAUAGCCAAGCAAAGAUACAUAAGCAAUGGGGAGAAGACUGCACAUUUACCCCUGAUGGAGGAGGGAAAAGGAUACCAGAAUGUUCUUAUGAGCCAAGAGGAAGCCAAAGACCUGACCUUGGGGUUGUUGGAAAAGACCUGUCUUUGAAAGUUUCUUGCCAAAGGAAAGGGACCAUCAGCGAAAAGAGACUGGAAGAUACCACUGGGUACAGAGACUAAAGAUGGGAUGAAGAGCACCUGCUCAGAGACAAAAAUUGCCCAAGGGCCCAGAAGAGGUAACUUUGAGGAUUCCACAAAGUACUAUUGAAGAGAAAGAAUCAUCACUGGGAAACUUCCCCAUCAAGAAGAUGCAAACAUCAUCCUAUUCUUGGAUUGGAUGGUCUUUGGGACAAGGGCAGAAGGAAGAGCCUGGAAUCCUGGAGCCCAGAAAACCCAGUUCCAGGAGGCGAGGAACUCCUGGGAUGCAGUAGGAGCAUCUUUAGGAGGCAAGAAGCAGCGCGGCUCCUCAGGACUCGGAGGAAGAAGGAGAGAGGCUCCCAGCAGGACCCAGCAGGCCGGCUGGAGGCAGAGCUCCACAGCCACCUGCAGGAUGGGAGCUGGCUUGCAGGGCCAGGCUCUGCCAGAGCUUGGAGAGCAUCUGAGAAAGGAGUCAGCCCAGACGCUGAUUGCCAGUUAAGUCUACCUCCCGCAAGGGCAAGUGUACUUGGCCAGGAGACCAUGCCCUCCCAGCUCCUAAGGAUGAAUUUUCCAUCCUUGAAUUACUUUUCCUUCCCCCCCCCCCUUUUUUUUUAUUUAAAUAAGUAAGAUCCACCCUGUGUGUGGAGCCCAACACGGGUCUUGAAUUCCCAACCCUGACAUCAAGACCCGAGCUGAGAUCAAGAGUCGAACACUUAACCCACUGAGCCACCCAGGCACCCCUCCAAGGUUGACUUUCUGGUGUCAGCUGGAGGGGAGAACAUAUCCUUAUGUACAAUUCCUCCAGUCACUCCCAGUAGAAAGCUUUUCUGGGUUCUAUUUUUGCAGCCUUUGCCCUGCCCAGUUUUGGGGGACCACUCUAGAGUCCUUUAUAACCCCUGGUGUCACAGCAUGGGGUGGGGGCGGUGGUCCUGGGCUGACCUAGGCUCUCAGCAGCCCAGGCCAGCAGCGGGGAGGGGAUGGAACCGAGCUGGUGGGCCCGGGAGUGGGAAGUCAGGAGAAGAGCAGGCCAGAGCCCACGUCCUGGGGGUCCUGGGGAAGGAUGAGGGUCAGCGGAGAGGAGCAGAAUAAAUCAAAACCCUGUUUUUACGGGUACA